rnacentral:rRNA from 1 species
AUACGGAGGUGGCGAAUGUUGCUCGGAAUUACUGGGCGUAAAGCGCACGUAGGCGGACUGGAAAGUUGGGGGUGAAAUCCCGGGGCUCAACCCCGGAACUGCCUCCAAAACUUCCAAUCUAGAGAUCGAGAGAGGUGAGUGGAAUUCCAAGUGUAGAGGUGAAAUUCGUAGAUAUUUGGAGGAACACCAGUGGCGAAGGCGGCUCACUGGCUCGAUACUGACGCUGAGGUGCGAAAGCGUGGGGAGCAAACAGGAUUAGAUACCCGAGUAGUCC